rnacentral:rRNA from 1 species
UGGGGAAUUUUGGACAAUGGGGGAAACCCUGAUCCAGCCAUCCCGCGUGUGCGAUGAAGGCCUUCGGGUUGUAAAGCACUUUUGGCAGGAAAGAAACGUCAUGGGUUAAUACCCCGCGAAACUGACGGUACCUGCAGAAUAAGCACCGGCUAACUACGUGCCAGCAGCCGCGGUAAUACGUAGGGUGCAAGCGUUAAUCGGAAUUACUGGGCGUAAAGCGUGCGCAGGCGGUUCGGAAAGAAAGAUGUGAAAUCCCAGGGCUCAACUUUGGAACUGCAUUUUUAACUACCGGGCUAGAGUGUGUCAGAGGGAGGUGGAAUUCCGCGUGUAGCAGUGAAAUGCGUAGAUAUGCGGAGGAACACCGAUGGCGAAGGCAGCCUCCUGGGAUAACACUGACGCUCAUGCACGAAAGCGUGGGGAGCAAACAGG